rnacentral:rRNA from 1 species
CCUACGGGAGGCAGCAGUGGGGAAUCUUGCACAAUGGAGGAAACUCUGAUGCAGCGAUGCCGCGUGAGUGAAGAAGGCCUUUGGGUUGUAAAGCUCUUUUGUAGGGGAAGAUAAUGACUGUACCCUAAGAAUAAGGUCCGGCUAACUUCGUGCCAGCAGCCGCGGUAAUACGAAGGGACCUAGCGUAGUUCGGAAUUACUGGGCGUAAAGCGCGCGUAGGCCGUUGAGUUAGUUAAUUGUGAAAUCCCAAAGCUUAACUUUGGAACUGCAAUUAAAACUGCUCGACUAGAGUUUGAUAGAGGAAAGCGGAGUACAUAGUGUAGAGGUGAAAUUCGUAGAUAUUAUGUAGAACACCAGUUGCGAAGGCGGCUUUCUGGAUCAACACUGACGCUGAGGCGCGAAAGUAUGGGUAGCAAAGAGGAUUAGAUACCCUCGUAGUCCAUACCAUAAACGAUGAUUGCUAGAUGUUGGAAAUUUAUUUUCAGUAUCGCAGCUAACGCAUUAAGCAAUCCGCCUGGGGAGUACGACCGCAAGGUUAAAACUCAAAUGAAUUGACGG